GACGAACGCUGGCGGCGUGCCUAACACAUGCAAGUCGAACGGAAAGGCCAUGCUUUUGUGGGGCUGUCGAUUGGCGAACGGGUGAGUAACACGUGUGUAACCUGCCCCUGAAUUUGGGAUAACAUCACGGAACUGGGGCGAAUAUCGGAUAUAAGCUCCUGCUGCAUGUUGGUGGUUGGAAAGUUUCGGCGGUUGUGGAUCGAAUCGCGGGUUAUCAGCUUGUUGGUGUGGUAGUGGCUUACCAAGGCUUUGACGGGUAGCCGGCCUGAGAGGGUUGCCGGCGACAUUGGGACUGAGAUAGGGACCAGAAUCCUACGGGCGGCAGUAGUGGGGAAUAUUGCACAAUGGGCGGAAGUCUGAUGCGGAAACGCCGGGUGCGGGAUGACGGCCUUUGGGUUGUAAACAGCUUUCGAAGGUGAUGAAGCGUGAGUGACGGUAAUGGGUAAAGAAGCACCGGCUAACUACGUG
rnacentral:rRNA from 1 species